rnacentral:rRNA from 1 species
UACGUAGGGGGCUAGCGUUGUCCGGAAUCAUUGGGCGUAAAGAGCGUGUAGGCGGCCCGGUAAGUCCGCUGUGAAAGUCGGGGGCUCAACCCUCGGAUGCCGGUGGAUACUGUCGGACUAGAGUUCGGAAGAGGCGAGUGGAAUUCCCGGUGUAGCGGUGAAAUGCGCAGAUAUCGGGAGGAACACCAAUGGCGAAGGCAGCUCGCUGGGACGUGACUGACGCUGAGGCGCGAAAGCGUGGGGAGCAACAGG